CUUUAACUGAGAAUCUUGAAUUAGCCAGGCAUCUAUGAAGACAGUGAUGUUGUGAAGACAGAGGUCACCUGGAGGAAGGUUGGCAGAACUGUUCGUUGUGGGUUUGUUGGCAGUAGAACUGAGAAGAGGAAGAAGGAGCUGGGUUCCUUUGUCUGAUUCUGGUCCCAGGAAAGGCAGGCUCAGAGCCAGCACAGAAAAGGCUUUUUCCCUGCUAGUGCCAGUUUAACAAUUGUCACUGAUGAAUGAGAUCUGAAAGCAAAUCUACUUCAACUCAGACAGAAAGCUCUAACAGAGAAGCUUUUAAAUAUAUCAAUAUGCCAAAUAAAAAGAAAGAUG